rnacentral:sRNA from 1 species
ACCAAACGGGACCCUGCAGUUGGAGUAGUUUCCUCUGGUUAAGAGCUUUUAGAUGCGAUCUACACUACUGUGGCCCUGCCCAUUCUGUCAUCACUUCCAUUGAAAUGCUCUGCUGUCAAGACCGUUUCUCUGCUCCACGGUGCAGAAAUACAACCACUGGUUACUUAUCCUGUCGCUGUUAGGUCUUACCCCUCCUCCAACGACGAUGCAGCGCGUCCUUGCGUUCUUUGGGCAGGACUACUUCAACUCUAUAUACCGCGGUGAUAAUUCCUUCAUAUUUGAAAUGCCUGCUUUCCUCUUGUAGGAAUGGGCGCACUUUGAUAGUGAAGUCUUUCACAAGAAAUAUUGUAGUUUGUAGUCAUAGAGUUUCUUAUAUGACGCCUUAACAA